UCUCCAAACGACUCCCGGCAACGGAUAUCUGGGCUCUCGCAUCGAUGAAGAACGUAGCGAAAUGCGAUACGUGGUGAUUGCAGAAUCCCGCGAACCAUCGAAUCUUUGAACGCAAGUUGCGCCCGAGGCCGCCGGGCCGAGGGCACGCCUGCCUGGGCGUC
rnacentral:rRNA from 1 species